rnacentral:rRNA from 1 species
UACGGAGGGAGCUAGCGUUGUUCGGAAUUACUGGGCGUAAAGCGCACGUAGGCGGCUUGUUAAGUCAGGGGUGAAAUCCUGGAGCUCAACUCCAGAACUGCCUUUGAUACUGGCGAGCUUGAGUUCGGGAGAGGUGAGUGGAACUGCGAGUGUAGAGGUGAAAUUCGUAGAUAUUCGCAAGAACACCAGUGGCGAAGGCGGCUCACUGGCCCGAUACUGACGCUGAGGUGCGAAAGCGUGGGGAGCAAACAGGG